rnacentral:lncRNA from 1 species
UCGACGGGAAUCUUUCAAUCAUUGUCAACAAACCCAUCAAAAUUAAAGUCCAAUAAACCAAGUCUCUGUCAGACAUUUUCACAAAUACUGUUCAGGCACCCAUCACCACAAUCCAAAUACAGACGGAAGGUACACUUGCCAGCCCAAUUCUGGAUCCGUCUUCUCUAUCAAAGAACGAAGCUUUUUCUCAUGGUUGGCUUGGCAAUUUGCAGCAAGCUUUUUCGACAAAUUUAUUGAGUGUUCUUGAGUGUGAGCGCGUGAGACAGAAAGUGAGACCAUUUCUAAAACAGUCGAAAGGUCAGUGAGUUAUAUAUUUUUCGUUGGGCUUUGUUUGAAGUUAGGAAAACGCCUGUAUGUGGGCUGUGGGCUGUGAGAGUUUAUAGCAACACAAGCU